rnacentral:rRNA from 1 species
UACGUAGGGGGCAAGCGUUGUCCGGAAUUAUUGGGCGUAAAGAGCUUGUAGGCGGUUUGUCGCGUCUGCUGUGAAAUUUCGGGGCUCAACCCCGAACUUGCAGUGGGUACGGGCAGACUAGAGUGUGGUAGGGGAGACUGGAAUUCCUGGUGUAGCGGUGAAAUGCGCAGAUAUCAGGAGGAACACCGGUGGCGAAGGCGGGAUCCUGGGCCAGUACUGACGCUGAGGAGCGAAAGCGUGGGGAUCAAACAGG